CAGCAGCCGCGGGAAUACGAAGGUCCCGAGCGUUGUUCGGAAUCACUGGGCGUAAAGGGAGCGUAGGCGGCGUGGUAAGUCAGAUGUGAAAUCCCGGGGCUCAACCCCGGAACUGCAUCCGAUACUGCCAUGCUAGAGGAUUGGAGAGGUAGCCGGAAUUCUUGGUGUAGCAGUGAAAUGCGUGGAGAUCAAGAGGAACACUCGUGGCGAAAGCGAGCUACUGGACAAUAACUGACGCUGAGGCUCGAAGGCCAGGGUAGCGAAAGGGAUUAGAUACCCCUGUAGUCCCUGUCUCCUUAUU
rnacentral:rRNA from 1 species